rnacentral:rRNA from 1 species
AUUGAACGCUGGCGGCAAGCCUAACACAUGCAAGUCGAACGAGUGGCGGACGGGUGAGUAAUGUCUGGGAAACUGCCUGAUGGAGGGGGAUAACUACUGGAAACGGUAUCUAAUACCGCAUACCAUCGGAUGUCCCCAGAUGGGAUUGGCAAGUAGGUGGGGUAAAGGCUCACCUAGGCGACGAUCCCUAGCUGGUCUGUGAGGAUGACCAGCAACAAUGGAACUGAGACACGGUCCAGACGCCGACGGGAGGCAGCAGUGGGGAAUAUUGCACAAAGGGCGCAAGCCUAAUGCAGCAAUGCAGCGUGUAUGAAGAAGGCCUUCGGGUUGAAAAGUACUUUCAGCGGGGAGGCGUUACCCGCAGAAGAAGCACCGGCUAACUCCGUACCAGCAGCCGCGGAAAUUC